rnacentral:rRNA from 1 species
ACGCUAGCUACAGGCUUAACACAUGCAAGUCGAGGGGCAGCAUUUCAGUUUGCUUGCAAACUGGAGAUGGCGACCGGCGCACGGGUGAGUAACACGUAUCCAACCUGCCGAUAACUCGGGGAUAGCCUUUCGAAAGAAAGAUUAAUACCCGAUGGCAUAAUUAGACCGCAUGGUCUUAUUAUUAAAGAAUUUCGGUUAUCGAUGGGGAUGCGUUCCAUUAGGCAGUUGGUGAGGUAACGGCUCACCAAACCUUCGAUGGAUAGGGGUUCUGAGAGGAAGGUCCCCCACAUUGGAACUGAGACACGGUCCAAACUCCUACGGGAGGCAGCAGUGAGGAAUAUUGGUCAAUGGGCGCAGGCCUGAACCAGCCAAGUAGCGUGAAGGAUGACUGCCCUAUGGGUUGUAAACUUCUUUUAUAUGGGAAUAAAGUUUUCCACGUGUGGAAUUUUGUAUGUACCAUAUGAACAAGGAUCGGCUAACUCCGUGCCAGCAGCCGCGGUAAUACGGAGGAUCCGAGCGUUAUCCGGAUUUAUUGGGUUUAAAGGGAGCGUAGGUGGACAGUUAAGUCAGUUGUGAAAGUUUGCGGCUCAACCGUAAAAUUGCAGUUGAUACUGGCUGUCUUGAGUACAGUAGAGGUGGGCGGAAUUCGUGGUGUAGCGGUGAAAUGCUUAGAUAUCACGAAGAACUCCGAUUGCGAAGGCAGCUCACUGGACUGCAACUGACACUGAUGCUCGAAAGUGUGGGUAUCAAACAGGAUUAGAUACCCUGGUAGUCCACACAGUAAACGAUGAAUACUCGCUGUUUGCGAUAUACAGUAAGCGGCCAAGCGAAAGCAUUAAGUAUUCCACUUGGGGAGUACGCCGGCAACGGUGAAACUCAAAGGAAUUGACGGGGGCCCGCACAAGCGGAGGAACAUGUGGUUUAAUUCGAUGAUACGCGAGGAACCUUACCCGGGCUUAAAUUGCAUUUGAAUAAUCUGGAAACAGGUUAGCCGCAAGGCAAAUGUGAAGGUGUUGCAUGGUUGUCGUCAGCUCAUGCCGUGAGGUGUCGGAUUAAGUGCCAUAUCGAGCGCAACCCUUAUCUUUAGUUAAUAACAGGUCAUGGUGAGGACUUUAGAGAGACUGCCGUCGUAAGAUGUGAGGAAGGUGGGGAUGAGGUCAAAUCAGCACGGCCCUUACGUCCGGGGCUACACACGUGUUACAAUGGGGGGUUCAGAAGGCAGAUACGUGGUGACAGGAUGCUAAUCCCAAAAGCCUCUGUCAGCUCGGAUCGAAGUAUGCAACCCGACUUCGUGAAGCUGGAUUCGUUAGUAAUCGCGCAUCAGCCAUGGCGCGGUGAAUACGUUCCCGGGCCUUGUACACACCGCCCGUCAAGCCAUGAAAGCCGGGGGUACCUGAAGUAAGUAACCGCAAGGAGCGUCCUAGGGUAAAACU